GUUCAUGCGCCUUUUGUGGCCUUUCACAUCUCUCUCCAUGCUCUUUCACUCUCUUCUACGCCAGCGUCUUUGUCGCUGAGAGAAACUCUUUUGAGAAGCUCAACUUGCAGUCUUGGAUCAUACCCAGAUAUAAUCUGCAGUACUUGUUAAAAUGGAGGAAAGAGGUGAUCAAUAACAUGAUUGAGAAAGCAAUACUAGAGGCAAACAAAAAAGGAGUGAAGGUGCUUAGCCUGGGUCUCAUGAACAAGGGGAGGAGCUAAACAGGAAUGAAGAGGUGUCUAUUGACAAGCAUCCAGGAGUGAAAUGACAAAAAAGGAGUGAAGGUGCUUAGAGGCUUAGAGCACAAAAGCUUGUGUGAUCAACAUAAAUGGUCAAAAGUAGUUGUUUUGUUGGUCUUUAAUUAGGAUUUUACAUUAAUCAAUAUUCAUACGAGGAAGAGUCUUUGUUGAACUUUAUUGUAAUAAUAAAUUGAUUCUGAGGUAUCUUCCACCAUUUACGGUCAAACACAAAAAGCAAAAACACUUGUUGUCUUAACGCUCCCUUUAAAGGACGGAAGC